rnacentral:misc_RNA from 1 species
AAGCUAUUUUCUUCAAGCAUCUUUAGGUUCAUCUGAAAGUUUAUCUGAUAGGAAAAUCACUGGGGACGUAACCAUGAGUCCAUACUAUAUGAAGAGCAUGACUUCUAGUUCUUUUGAGGCUGCUCUUCGUCAGAAGGAAGGAGAACUUGCAUCUUAUAUCUCUCGAUUGAAAUCAAUAGAGUCUAUUCGGGACUCUCUUGCCGAGGAGCUUGUGAAGUUAACCUCACAGAGUGAGAAGUUAAGGGCAGAGGCCAGUAUGUUACCAGGCAUACGUGCAGAACUUGAAGCACUAAGAAGAAGGCACUCUGCUGCACUAGAGCUUAUGGGAGAACGUGAUGAGGAGCUGGAGGAACUUCGUGCAGAUAUUGUUGACUUG